rnacentral:rRNA from 1 species
GCGACCCCAGGUCAGGUGGGGCUACCCGCUGAGUUUAAGCAUAUAAAUAAGCGGAGGAGAAGAAACUUACGAGGAUUCCCUUAGUAACGGCGAGCGAACCGGGAUCAGCCCAGCUUGAGAAUCGGGCGGCUGCGUCGUCCGAAUUGUAGUCUGGAGAAGCGUCCUCAGCGACGGACCGGGCCCAAGUCCCCUGGAAAGGGGCGCCGGGGAGGGUGAGAGCCCCGUCCGGCUCGGACCC